UGAGUAACACGUAUCCAACCUGCCGUCUACUCUUGGACAGCCUUCUGAAAGGAAGAUUAAUACAAGAUGGCAUCAUGAGUCCGCAUGUUCACAUGAUUAAAGGUAUUUUCCGGUAGACGAUGGGGAUGCGUUCCAUUAGAUAGUAGGCGGGGUAACGGCCCACCUAGUCAACGAUGGAUAGGGGUUCUGAGAGGAAGGUCCCCCACAUUGGAACUGAGACACGGUCCAA
rnacentral:rRNA from 1 species